AACGCAUCUUGCGCUCCUUGGUAUUCCGAGGAGCAUGCCUGUUUGAGUGUCAUUAAAUUCUCAACUCUCUAUACUUUGUUGUAUAGUGGAGCUUGGAUUGUGGGGGUCUGCUGGCCGCUUAUUGUGGUCAGCUCUCCUGAAAUGCAUUAGCGGAACCGUUUGCGAUCUGCCACAAGUGUGAUAAUUAUCUACACUGGCGAGGGGAUUGCUCUCUGAUGUUCAGCUUCUAAUCGUCUCGAUAUACUGAGACAAUUUUUGAACGUUUGACCUCAAAUCAGGUAGGACUACCCGCUGAACUUAA
rnacentral:misc_RNA from 1 species